CGCGUAGGUGGUUUGUUAAGUUGAAUGUGAAAGCCCCGGGCUCAACCUGGGAACUGCAUCCAAAACUGGCAAGCUAGAGUAUGGUAGAGGGUGGUGGAAUUUCCUGUGUAGCGGUGAAAUGCGUAGAUAUAGGAAGGAACACCAGUGGCGAAAGCGGCUUCCUGGUCCAGCACCGACGUUCAGGCACGAAAGCGUGGGGAGCAAACAGGAUUAGAUACCCUGGUAGUCCACGCCAUAAACGAUGAGAACUAGACGUUGAGAGGGUAAGCCUCGCAGUGUCGUAGCUAACGCGCUAAGUUCUCCGCCUGGGGAGUACGGCCGCAAGGUUGAA
rnacentral:rRNA from 1 species